GAAUAUUUUGCACUUUGCGCAGUGGUAGAUGGAAUACUUAAUGGUGGGUCAGUGCAUCACUUUCACAUUUACUCACAAUCUAAACAGAAGACAAUGCUCCAAGGUCCACUCCCACUUACACUAGCACAACCUCACUAUGCCUAACAUUUGCUAAAAGGGCAAGUCAACAGGAGAAUUCUGCCACAAAAUUACAGCCCCUUUCUGCCUACUUUAUAAGAUGUAUAGCUUACACUCCCUGACUAGAGAGAGUUUCAAAGUGGGAGUUGUAUUAAGCUUAUAUCCAAAAACAGACAAAUGCCGCUUGCACAAACCCCUUUGUUGCUGCGUUCUUUCAGAGGACAUCAAAUUCUGUUGCCCCAUCCACACUCCUCUCUCCAGAGCUGUGACCUUUGACGUCUUCAGCAGUGCCCCCACUCUUUACAGGGACAGGACGUAGAUUUCACAAGCUCAUAACAGUUGUUUUCAGAACGGGCAUAAUGAAGAUACUGACACUGCCAUCUUCCUCAUACUGCUAGCUGAUAUGGCUAAAUCAGGGGUUCUCAAACUUCAUUACACUGUGACUCUCGUCUGACAACAAAAAUUACUACACAACCCCAGAAGGGGGGGACCAAAGGCUGAGCCCGCCUGAGCUCCACUGCCCCAGGCAGAGGUCCAAAUCCAGAGCCCUGCUGCCCCACGCAGGGCGGCCAAAGGCAAAGAGCUUAAGCCCCAGGCCUGUAACCUGAGCCCUGCCACCCAGGGCUGAAGUCCUUGAACUACAUCUUUGACCCUGGUGGUGGGGCUUGGGCUGCAGCCCCAGGCCCCAGCAAGUCUGAUGUAAGCCCUGGAGACCCCAUUAAAACUGGGUUGUGACCCACUUUAGGGUCCUGACCCACAGUUUGAGAACUUCUGGUCUAAAUCCUUUCUGCAAGUACUAUCUCUAGGGAUGAAAGGACAAUUGACUUGCCAUGACAAUUCGUUCUCUUUCCUUUGCUAAGACUACCAACAAGAAUAUCAGUUCAUGCUCAUUUUAAUGGUGUUAUGUCUGUCUGUCUAGAAUUUUACAUUAGAGAGACAAGGUAAGAGAGGUAAUAUGUUUUCUUGGACUGAUUUUUACAUCGGCAUCCAUCACCAUCAUAUCUCAGGCCCUUUUUAGUGAUGGGGAUUCAUAGGCAUGAGAAAAUGGACUGAGACUGCUGUCACAUUUCAUGCAGCUAACGAAUGGCCAUCAGAUGGUAGUGACUUUGGAUUAUUAUCAUUUUGUGACCUAAUUAUAGCUAAGGAAUAUAGGACUGGACUUUUGAUAUCAGUCUUAGCCACUUACCAAUGGAGCGUCUGAGCAAAAUUGGUUCAUCUAUUUUUGUGUUUAUCCAAGUGUGAAACUAUUUUAUCUCUAUGUGUUCCAGUGGAACUGUUCAUGCUUCCACAAUAUGGCUGGUUUUCUAGUUCUCACUGAAGAAGGAUAAACCAUUUGGUUCAAUUUUUGUGUCGACAUUCAUUUUGGAGGACACUAUUGAAGUGGAUCGAAAUUGCGAAAUUGUUCAUGAAGUCAUGAAAGCAGGUCAUCCCGAAGUCAUGUCAGUAAAACCUUUGUAAAACAUUGUAUCAUCAUGUGUUCUCCAUGGAUUUUACAGAAAAACAAAAUGUCUUUUUGAAACAUUUUAGGUAAUUUAAAAAUAAUGGUAUUGGGACUAUUUUUUGUAUCCCUACAGCUGCUGCCUUAGUUACCAUGUGUUUGACAGUACAGACUCUCGGAGAGAGAAAACAUAUAGUUCAUAAAUUUAAAACACCGCCAACGUUGACCUAAAAUAGCCUUUCAAUACAUAAAAAUGUCAGAAUUUUAAAGAUCAAUACCAUGGGCAUCCAGGAAUAGAAUCAAUGAUGUGUCUUCCAUUGGGAAUAUGAAAUCUCUUCUUUCCAAAUAAAUAAAGAAAGGUCCUAUGUUUGAUUCUCCUUCGUCCUGCAUUGUGUAUAGUUAAGGCUACAAGUCAGUCACAGAGGUCACAGAUCCAGUGAGUUUUUGUGACCUCUGAGACUUCAGGGCUUUGACUGUUAAUCCCGGGCAGCGGGGCUCCAGUUGUCAGCUCCCCUGGGUGGGAAGAACGGCUUUGGCUGUCAGCCCCCAGCUCCCUGGUUAGUGGGGCUAGGGCUUCAGCCCCAUCCUGGGGAAGCUCAGGCUUCUGUGAAUUCUUUUUUAUUGGACAUGACCCAGGGACAUUCCUAGCUAUUCUGGGGCCCUUCACAGCCUC